rnacentral:lncRNA from 1 species
AAAUUUUUAAUUUUAUUAAUUUGGUCAAUGGAUGUCCAUGGAAACGGAAAAAAAAAAGGAGUUUGUUUACAAAGGAUUGAAAAGAAAUUUUAUAAAAUAGCACAGAGAGCUAUAAAGAGAGGCUUUUGCACUCUUUCCGAUUUCGUGUCUGGUCGAUCUGCUCAAUCAGUUCAGCCAAAGCAAAAAUUAAGAUGAGUAAUUCCCCAUCUACUCUUUCUUCCAUUAUUGGGUCCACCACACUUUCUUCCUUCUUCUUCUUCCUUUAUUCUCUUUCUUCUCUCCUUCCUAAUCCUUCUUUCUUCUUCCUCUCUUCUUCUUUCUUUCUCUCCUUCAAUCUCCUUUCCUCUUCUUCUACUUUCUUCCACUCUUCUUCUUCUUCUCUAUAAGCUUCAUGGGCAACAUUCAUGAAAAACAUUAGACACAUGCAUCCAACGAGAAUUACCCAUGACUCUGGUUUAUGAGACAGAGCAGCAUGUGUUAUUGUUAAACGCAGAAAUAUUUCAGUGAGACAAAAAUCAGUGAAGGGAAUGAAUGAUAAUGAAUAAAAAAAGGAAGAAAGAGACAAGCAAAUCAAAAUAAAGGAAGUGUUAGCAUUUAGUUCUGUAUAAGAAAAAACACUAUAAUUCAAAACAGCAGCGAAGACAUUAACCCCAAUUUUACACAAACAAUUAUUUUUUCUUAUAAGCCAGCCAUGGUAACGUUUGGCUUUAUGAACAAAAAAAUAUUGGGUAACCAGAAAGUGGACAACCAACAGAUGUAUAAUGAAGCCAAAUAGGUAGGAUUGAUUUUCAAACAUGGUUUGACCUCUUGGGGUAUCACAGAAAGCCAAAAAUCCUAUUAAAUUGAGAGUUAAGCCAGAAAUACCAUAAGCAAAAUUUAAAUCCUUCAUUUCUUCUUUAACAUUCAUGAUCCCUGACAUCAAAAUAAAAGACCUGAUGAAAGAGGUAGGAGUUGGAGCAACUACAAAUAUUGUAAGUAUCAGAG